UAUUCCUCGAUCUGAAAUUCCCGGCCUGUCUCUUUCUCUCUCUCUCUCUCUCUCUCUCUCUCUCUCUCUUCAAAACCUAACUUGUGGCUUGACCAGUCAGUCAUACGGGGAACUGGUACCAUAUCAAUUAUGAUCAUCGAUCCCAAUUCCCAACCCUGCACGAAAUGGGUGACCUCGUGCCACAUCAGUCACAACGUGGGCUGAUUUUUUAUUCUUAAUUUUCUUUCAAGAGUCAACAGUCGACAUUCUUGACUUUUUUUAUAUCAUGAUCUGAUGAAACCCUAAAAUCUUAGAUGAUCUCUUUGUCUUCCUCCUCCCUCUCAUAUUCUCUUCUCUUAUGAGACAUUAGCAGAAGAGGGUAGAUUCUAACAUUUUAAUGGCGCAUUCACUUUCGCCUGCAAUUUCAUCUCAUGUCUUUGGCCAGAGGAUCCACCAAAAAGGUGGGGAGUCAUGGCAUUGCAGUUUUCCUAUGAGGACAAAGUUGAUGCAUUUAAAGAAGAUUCGUUAUGGCUCCAGAAUAAGAGCAAGCACAAUAGAAAUCCCCCAUCAGUGGUAUAAUCUUGUUGCAGACCUCCCUAUCAAGCCACCUCCAUAUUUGCAUCCAAAGACUCUCCAACCAGUUCAACCUGAGGAUUUAUCUCCUCUGUUUCCAGAUGAGUUGAUAAGUCAAGAGGCUAGCACUGACAGGUUCAUCAACAUCCCCCCAGAGGUGGUUGAUAUUUACAGGCUUUGGCGCCCAACCCCACUGAUCAGGGCCAAGAGAUUGGAGAAACUUCUUAAGACACCUGCGAGGAUCUACUACAAAUAUGAAGGUGGCAGCCCGGCUGGAUCACAUAAACCCAACUCAGCAGUCCCACAAGUAUGGUAUAAUGCACAAGAAGGAAUCAAGACAGUGGUGACAGAAACUGGUGCUGGGCAAUGGGGUAGCGCAUUGUCCUUUGCCUGCAGCUUACUUGGUCUCAAUUGUGAAGUCUGGCAAGUUCGUGCUUCUUAUGAUCAGAAACCAUAUCGUAAAUUGAUGAUGCAAACUUGGGGUGCCAAGGUGCACCCUUCUCCAUCUAGUAUAACUGAGUUUGGGAGGAAAUUCCUCCAAACAGAUCCAUCUAGUCCUGGUAGUUUAGGAAUCGCUAUUUCAGAAGCUGUAGAGGUUGCAGCUACACAUGCUGAUACCAAGUACUGCCUGGGAAGUGUCCUGAAUCAUGUGUUGCUACACCAGACUGUUAUUGGUGAGGAGUGUAUAAAGCAGAUGGAGGCAAUGGGUGAGACCCCUGAUGUGAUCAUUGGUUGUACUGGUGGAGGAUCCAAUUUUGCAGGGCUUUGUUUUCCAUUUAUUCGAGAGAAGCUCAAUGGGAAAAUCAAUCCUGUUAUAAGAGCAGUUGAGCCUGCAGCAUGCCCUUCUCUGACAAAAGGAGUGUAUGCAUAUGAUUAUGGUGAUACAGCUGGGAUGACACCAUUGAUGAAGAUGCACACACUUGGGCAUGACUUCAUUCCAGACCCCAUUCAUGCUGGAGGUCUGCGCUACCAUGGUAUGGCACCAUUGCUAUCACAUGUGUUUGAAUUGGGCCUUAUGGAAGCGAUGGCCAUUCCUCAGACUGAAUGCUUUCGAGGUGCCAUACAAUUUGCUCGGUCAGAAGGUAUAAUUCCAGCACCAGAACCAACUCAUGCCAUAGCUGCCACUAUCAGGGAAGCUCACCGUUGCAAGGAAACCGGAGAAGAAAAAGUUAUUCUCAUGGCUAUGUGUGGCCAUGGACAUUUUGAUUUGACAUCUUAUGAGAAGUAUUUGGAAGGAAGUUUGGUUGAUUUAUCAUUCGAAGAUGAGAAGAUGAAAGCAUCUCUGGCUUCAGUUCCUCAAGUUGUUUUCUAAACUGAGUAGUAUAAGUUGAAUAGGAUGGUGACUAGGAUAGAUAGAAGAAACCCCUAAAUGCUUCAAUGAAAUUUUGAGUUAAGUAGAUUUCAUUGAAAAAAUCUUGAAAAAGUCACAGCCCUGCAUCAUCAUGAGCAAAUACAAUUAACAGUAAAUGGAGAGAGACUGCACUCAUCAAAGAGGAUGUAGAAGAGAGAGAGUACCUCAGAUGCAAGAAUACAACAUGCUGGUUGUGGUCAUAUUGAACUUACCAAUGGAAGUUAAGGGUAACAUGAUAUUAACUGGUUGUAUCCAUCUGUCCUAUAGAAGUCUGAUUGAUCAAACUUUUUGCCUCUCUUCAUGGAGAAUGUUUUACAAGUUGGUCUGUUGACAAAAACACGAAGAAACCACCAAAUUAAAACAAAAGAUGAUAUAGAGAUUUAAUGUGGUUUACGCACUAA